rnacentral:rRNA from 1 species
AUUGAACGCUGGCGGCAUGCCUUACACAUGCAAGUCGAACGGCAGCACGGGAGCAAUCCUGGUGGCGAGUGGCGAACGGGUGAGUAAAGUAUCGGAACGUGCCCAGUCGUGGGGGAUGACGUAGCGAAAGUUACGCUAAUACCGCAUACGAUCUAUGGAUGAAAGCGGGGGAUCGCAAGACCUCGCGCGAUUGGAGCGGCCGAUAUCAGAUUAGGUAGUUGGUGGGGUAAAGGCUCACCCAGCCGACGAUCUGUAGCUGGUCUGAGAGGACGGCCAGCCACACUGGGACUGAGACACGGCCCAGACUCCUACGGGAGGCAGCAGUGGGGAAUUUUGGACAAUGGGCGAAAGCCUGAUCCAGCCAUGCCGCGUGCAGGAUGAAGGCCUUCGGGUUGUAAACUGCUUUUGUACGGAACGAAAAGGUUUGGCCUAAUAAGCUGAGCUCAUGACGGUACCGUAAGAAUAAGCACCGGCUAACUACGUGCCAGCCGCCGCGGUAA